CGGUAAUUCCAGCUCCAAUAGCGUAUAUUAAAAUUGUUGCAGUUAAAAAGCUCGUAGUUGAAUUUCUGCUAAAAAUAACCGGUCUGCUUUUAAUAAAGGUGGUAUCUUGGUGUGUUUUUAGCAAUAAUGUCCUUUGAAAUGUUUUUUACUUCAUUGUAAUAAAUUAUAUUUAGGAUUUUUACUUUGAGAAAAUUAGAGUGUUUCUAGCAGGCUAAUGCUUUGAAUACUGCAGCAUGGAAUAAUAAAAUAGGAUUUUGGUUCUACAUUAUUGGUUUUAAGAGCUAGAUUAAUGAUUGAUAGGGACAGUUGGGGGCAUUUGUAUUUAACUGUCAGAGGUGAAAUUCUUA
rnacentral:rRNA from 1 species